rnacentral:rRNA from 1 species
GAUGAACGCUGGCGGCGUGCCUAAUACAUGCAAGUCGAACGCUGAAGGAGGAGCUUGCUCUUCUGGAUGAGUUGCGAACGGGUGAGUAACGCGUAGGUAACCUGCCUGGUAGCGGGGGAUAACUAUUGGAAACGAUAGCUAAUACCGCAUGACAACAGUUAUUGCAUGAUAACUGUUUAAAAGGGGCAACUGCUCCACUACCAGAUGGACCUGCGUUGUAUUAGCUAGUUGGUGAGGUAACGGCUCACCAAGGCGACGAUACAUAGCCGACCUGAGAGGGUGAUCGGCCACACUGGGACUGAGACACGGCCCAGACUCCUACGGGAGGCAGCAGUAGGGAAUCUUCGGCAAUGGACGGAAGUCUGACCGAGCAACGCCGCGUGAGUGAAGAAGGUUUUCGGAUCGUAAAGCUCUGUUGUAAGAGAAGAACGAGUGUGAGAGUGGAAAGUUCACUCUGUGACGGUAUCUUACCAGAAAGGGACGGCUAACUACGUG